rnacentral:rRNA from 1 species
AUUGAACGCUGGCGGCACGCCUAACACAUGCAAGUCGAACGAGUGGCGGACGGGUGAGUAAUGUCUGGGAAACUGCCCGAUGGAGGGGGAUAACUACUGGAAACGGUAGCUAAUACCGCAUACCAUCGGAUGUGCCCAGAUGGGAUUAGCUAGUAGGUGGGGUAACGGCUCACCUAGGCGACGAUCCCUAGCUGGUCUGAGAGGAUGACCAGCCACACGGGAACGGAGACAAGGUCCAGAAUCCUACGUGAGGCAGCAGAGGGGAAUAUUGCACAAUGGGCGCAAGACUGAUGCAGCCAUGCCGCGUGUAUGAAGAAGGCCUUCGGGUUGUAAAGUACUUUCAGCGUGGAGGCGUUACCCGCAGAAGAAGCACCGGCUAACUCCGUGCCAGCAGCCGCGGUAAUUC